rnacentral:rRNA from 1 species
AUUGAACGCUGGCGGCAGGCCUAAAACAUGCAAGUCGAGCGAGCGGCGGACGGGUGAGUAAUGUAUGGGGAUCUGCCCGAUAGGGGGGGAUAACUAAUGGAAAAGGUGGCUAAUACCGCAUACUAUCGGAUGAACACAUAUGGGAUUAGCUAGGAGGUGGGGUAAAGGCUCACCUAGGAGGAGAUCUCUAGCUGUUCUUAGCGGAUGAUCAGCCACACUGGGACUGAGACACGGCCCAUACUCCUACGGGAGGCAGCAGUGGGGAAUAUUGAACAAUGGGCGAAAGCCUGAUGCAGCCAUGCCGCGUGUAUGAAUAAGGCCUUAGGGUUGGAAAGUACUUGCAGCGGGGAGGCGUUACCCGCAGAAGAAGCACCGGCGAACGCCGUGCCAGCAGCCGCGUUAAUUC